AUGAACGCUAGCGACAGGCUUAACACAUGCAAGUCGAGGGGCAGCGGGGGUAGCGAUACCCGCCGGCGACCGGCGCACGGGUGAGUAACGCGUAUGCAACUUGCCUAUCAGAGGGGGAUAACCCGGCGAAAGUCGGACUAAUACCGCAUGAAGCAGGGAUCCCGCAUGGGAAUAUUUGCUAAAGAUUCAUCGCUGAUAGAUAGGCAUGCGUUCCAUUAGGCAGUUGGCGGGGUAACGGCCCACCAAACCGACGAUGGAUAGGGGUUCUGAGAGGAAGGUCCCCCACAUUGGUACUGAGACACGGACCAAACUCCUACGGGAGGCAGCAGUGAGGAAUAUUGGUCAAUGGGCGUAAGCCUGAACCAGCCAAGUCGCGUGAGGGAUGAAGGUUCUAUGGAUCGUAAACCUCUUUUAUAAGGGAAUAAAGUGCGGGACGUGUCCCGUUUUGUAUGUACCUUAUGAAUAAGGAUCGGCUAACUCCGUGCCAGCAGCCGCGGUAAUACGGAGGAUCCGAGCGUUAUCCGGAUUUAUUGGGUUUAAAGGGUGCGUAGGCGGCCUUUUAAGUCAGCGGUGAAAGUCUGUGGCUCAACCAUAGAAUUGCCGUUGAAACUGGGGGGCUUGAGUAUGUUUGAGGCAGGCGGAAUGCGUGGUGUAGCGGUGAAAUGCAUAGAUAUCACGCAGAACCCCGAUUGCGAAGGCAGCCUGCCAAGCCAUGACUGACGCUGAUGCACGAAAGCGUGGGGAUCAAACAGGAUUAGAUACCCUGGUAGUCCACGCAGUAAACGAUGAUCACUAGCUGUUUGCGAUACACUGUAAGCGGCACAGCGAAAGCGUUAAGUGAUCCACCUGGGGAGUACGCCGGCAACGGUGAAACUCAAAGGAAUUGACGGGGGCCCGCACAAGCGGAGGAACAUGUGGUUUAAUUCGAUGAUACGCGAGGAACCUUACCCGGGUUUGAACGCAUUCGGACCGAGGUGGAAACACCUUUUCUAGCAAUAGCCGUUUGCGAGGUGCUGCAUGGUUGUCGUCAGCUCGUGCCGUGAGGUGUCGGCUUAAGUGCCAUAACGAGCGCAACCCUUGCCACUAGUUACUAACAGGUAAAGCUGAGGACUCUGGUGGGACUGCCAGCGUAAGCUGCGAGGAAGGCGGGGAUGACGUCAAAUCAGCACGGCCCUUACAUCCGGGGCGACACACGUGUUACAAUGGCGUGGACAAAGGGAGGCCACCUGGCGACAGGGAGCGAAUCCCCAAACCACGUCUCAGUUCGGAUCGGAGUCUGCAACCCGACUCCGUGAAGCUGGAUUCGCUAGUAAUCGCGCAUCAGCCAUGGCGCGGUGAAUACGUUCCCGGGCCUUGUACACACCGCCCGUCAAGCCAUGGGAGCCGGGGGUACCUGAAGUCCGUAACCGCGAGGAUCGGCCUAGGGUAAAACUGGUGACUGGGGCU
rnacentral:rRNA from 1 species